AGCGUUUGCUUCUGUGAUAUUGCUACUCUCUUGCCAAUCGGCCUGUUGAAUGCCAUCAUCAUGAUCUCAUUCGUGUCCCUGUAAAUGCCUCCCAAUUCUAGUGUCUCCCUCAAUGCUUUUGCUCCCGUCCAUGUUGAUCAAACCAGGUAAUCGGCUCUUUAGCUACCGUUGCAAUUGUAUCUUUUUAUAAAUUUCACCCUUAUGGUCAUCAUUGGAGUCAUUCUUGAAGAAAAAUAUAUUAACUCAAAAAACAAACACCAGCUGAUUCUUCCAUUCUGUCCUAGCCUUGGUGGACAGAGUUACCUUAUCUCUUUUGUCGGUGAGAGGUAGUAGGUAUCCACUUGAUUUAGUCGAGGUAUCCGAAAGUUGGCCUCGACACCAUGAUUAUCAUUAAAAAAUGCAUGUGGUUUUUAUUCUGGAAGUGCAAAUGCAACUUUGGCCCAAAAAUGCUUGCUCCGACAUGCAAGUCCUUUUCAGCUGAUGCAUAAUCUAGUGCAAGAUAUGGGAAGAAAAAUCGUUGGCAUGGAAUCACCUCAAGAUACUUGAAAAUGGAGUAGAGUUUUUCAACUAUC
rnacentral:lncRNA from 1 species